rnacentral:lncRNA from 1 species
AGAUAACAUCCGUGCCCAUCUUCCUCUACUUUAUAUGUGGGACACCUGCCACAGCAUGGCUUGACAAGCAGUGGUCCACACCCAGCAUCCAAACUGGUGAACCCUGGGCCACCAGAGCAAGGUGCCCAAAUUUAGCCACUACGCCACCAGGAGGCCGGAUAUGAGCGGAAGAGCCUUAAGUAUAUGUUUUCCCCAUAGAAACAAGAGCGGUUGUGACUUAGGCUAAUGGUAACGCUUGGGAGAAAGGAAGAAAGUCACAAAGCUACUGAAACAACGCAGUUCUGAAGCUCAAAGCAUCUAUACUCAGUCUGCCCCUUGUCUGUGAAGAACACACAAGUGGGCAGAGACUACGGGAUGUGCAGGAACCGCUCUGACUUCAGUGUGCAUUGCCUCCCUGGAUGGCCUGCGUGGCAAAUUCCGUUUGAGACCAGAGCCCUAAGGGGCACCGGCUUCUGGUGUGUUGGAGAUGGAGAAUUGGCCUCAUGGCUGCUCCUACUCGAUGUCAGCAACUCAACAUCUCGUCCUCUCUCGCGGCUCCCGGGCCCUCAGUGGACAGGAGAGUGGUCAGCACCAUGGUGAAUCUGAGAGAUCGAGG